UACGUAGGGUGCAAGCGUUGUCCGGAAUUAUUGGGCGUAAAGAGCUCGUAGGCGGUUCGUCGCGUCGGCUGUGAAAACCUGAGGCUCAACCUCAGGCCUGCAGUCGAUACGGGCGGACUUGAGUACUGCAGGGGAGACUGGAAUUCCUGGUGUAGCGGUGAAAUGCGCAGAUAUCAGGAGGAACACCGGUGGCGAAGGCGGGUCUCUGGGCAGUAACUGACGCUGAGGAGCGAAAGCGUGGGGGGCGAACAGG
rnacentral:rRNA from 1 species